UACGUAGGGACCAAGCGUUGUCCGGAAUCAUUGGGCGUAAAGGGCGUGUAGGCGGCUUGUUAAGUCUUGCGUGAAAUCUCGGGGCUCAACCCCGAGCGGUCGUGAGAAACUGGCAGGCUAGAGUGCGGGAGAGGAGAGUGGAAUUCCUGGUGUAGCGGUGAAAUGCGCAGAUAUCAGGAAGAACACCCGUGGCGAAGGCGGCUCUCUGGAACGCAACUGACGCUGAGACGCGAAAGCGUGGGGAGCAAACAGG
rnacentral:rRNA from 1 species